rnacentral:sRNA from 1 species
UCACUACACUAAUUCACUUAUUCAGAUG